rnacentral:rRNA from 1 species
UGGGGAAUUUUGGACAAUGGGCGCAAGCCUGAUCCAGCCAUGCCGCGUGAGUGAAGAAGGCCUUCGGGUUGUAAAACUCUUUCGGCCGGGAAGAAAUCGUGUUCUCUAACAUAGGACAUGGAUGACGGUACCGGACUAAGAAGCACCGGCUAACUACGUGCCAGCAGCCGCGGUAAUACGUCGGGUGCGAGCGUUAAUCGGAAUUACUGGGCGUAAAGCGUGCGCAGGCGGUUUUGUAAGACAGAUGUGAAAUCCCCGGGCUUAACCUGGGAACUGCGUUUGUGACUGCAAGGCUGGAGUACGGCAGAGGGGGGUGGAAUUCCACGUGUAGCAGUGAAAUGCGUAGAGAUGUGGAGGAACACCGAUGGCGAAGGCAGCCCCCUGGGCCUGUACUGACGCUCAUGCACGAAAGCGUGGGGAGCAAAC